AGCAGCAUGGCGCAGUCUGGAAGCGCGCGGGGCCCAUAUUCACCCUAGGGCACCCCGAGGUCACUCGAUCGAAACGAGUUGCUGCUA